rnacentral:rRNA from 2 species
AAAUUGAAGAGUUUGAUCAUGGCUCAGAUUGAACGCUGGCGGCAGGCCUAACACAUGCAAGUCGAACGGUAACAGGAAGCAGCUUGCUGCUUCGCUGACGAGUGGCGGACGGGUGAGUAAUGUCUGGGAAACUGCCUGAUGGAGGGGGAUAACUACUGGAAACGGUGGCUAAUACCGCAUAACGUCGCAAGACCAAAGAGGGGGACCUUCGGGCCUCUUGCCAUCAGAUGUGCCCAGAUGGGAUUAGCUAGUUGGUGAGGUAACGGCUCACCAAGGCGACGAUCCCUAGCUGGUCUGAGAGGAUGAUCAGCCACACUGGAACUGAGACACGGUCCAGACUCCUACGGGAGGCAGCAGUGGGGAAUAUUGCACAAUGGGCGCAAGCCUGAUGCAGCCAUGCCGCGUGUAUGAAGAAGGCCUUCGGGUUGUAAAGUACUUUCAGCGGGGAGGAAGGUGUUGUGGUUAAUAACC